UCUGCCAUGAUUUUAAGUUUCCUGAGACCUUCCAGCCAUGCUGAACUGAUUUCCUGAAGACACUAUCACAGUCAAGUGGUCUGCCUGGUACUGAGCCAUCAGACCAGCCAGCGUGUCCUCACCCACGUGGACAGGUGACAGGGGGUUCUGAGUAUGCCUCAGUGCACCUUACGCGCCUGUGAAGGUUGGGAGCCUGAGUGCAGCUCCUGUGGCGCUGCCCACGGGCAGGGAGAUGCCUCCUCAGUGCUCCUGACCCUCGGUGGAGGAGUGGCCAGCGUGUUUGCGGGCAGUGCAUCCACACAGGUGUCCUGCACCCAAGGGGCAAGUCGGAAACGAAGGAAAAUAUCUGUCUGAAGGAAAAGGCAAAGCAAUUUGGAUUUCUGUGAGAAAAUGAGACUGCAUGUGGCACUGUAAAUCCCCUUGCUGUUGAACUUCUCGCGCCCCCCAAAUACACCCUUCAUAUUGACAUGUCUAGAACCUUAAACUGAACCAAGUUGAAAAGUGAGAUUAAUUAGGGCUGAGUUAACAGUUAACACAUACAAUGAAAUAUUGAAUGAGGCUCACUGAGCAAACAAGAAUAUACAGAAGUGGAGGAGACAAAGAGGAUAUUAAAAAUGCAGAGAGUGAUGAGGCAGAUAGCUGCGACAAAUAAUGAAAACCAGUAAAGGAGAUAAGGCAGAUAUUGGAGGAGCAAAGAGUCUCUGAAAUAGAUAUUGGUAUCAAAAGAUGCUAAACACGCUUCUAAAGAGGCUUUCUAGCCGACACAGGGAGCUCACUGAUGAAUGAAGUAGAAACAUUUUUAAAUGGAAUCAAACAGGGCAAAGUGGGAGAAGAAAAAGAAGCAGGUAAACCAGUAAAUUAACUUUCCUUGCAUGUGCUGUAUACUAUUUGUGAGCGAGCAGUGAACGCUAUGGAUCCCUGGAGGGGCUGGGGGCCGCGGUGGGAGGGUUUCGCUGCAAAGAAGCAGAGGUGGUGCCUUUGGACCUCUUCUCCUGAACCUGCAGGGAGAGACGCAGAAUAUUCAAAAUGUGAAGAUGCAAUGAUUCACAUGAGUGUGCAGGUUUUCAGGGUGGUUGCUAAACCCAAAAAGACCGAUAGCUUCGGGCAAAAGACUGCAGAAAGACCAGCUUUACAUUUUUACUGAAGCAAUGGGAAAUUUACCCUGUAAGCCUUGAACAAUUCCCAAAGGGACUCCUGUUCAUUCCUGUGGAUCCUAAUGGGCCAGCAUAGACCUGUUAGUCAAAAGAGGAUUUACCUACAUUGUGCACUCGUUCGGACUGGCAGGGAAGUCAACGCCACUUCCAGAUGUUUGCAGGGCAUGAACCCUGUCCGUUCCCACGCCCUCCGAUGGCUGUUACACAGGGAUGCCCACUUCUGGACAGAAGUGAUUCAUGCAAAAUGAGAACCAUGACCACAGAAGGUUUUGUGCAUUUGGUUAUUUCAAUAUUUAAGUGUAUGCAUGAAUGCUCAGGGUAAAAAUGCUUGGAGUUUAACUCAAUUAAAAAUGUAUACAUUAUUCAUCUUCUAUGGACUGUCCACCAUGUGACCCAGAGAGCUGAGGGGGUAGAAAUACAUUCAUUCAUUCACUGUCUCCUUAAAUAUUUACUGAGCACUUGUUGCAUGUGGAAUAACUCCUUGUUGUAGGUUCCUCAUGGUGGCUCUGCAGGAAGGAUGCAGAGUGUCCUGAGGGGCUACUGGGAAAGUCCACUUUGGGUUGAGGGAUCUGGGAGGGCUCCCUGGAGGAGGAGGUCUUGGACUACAGCGAUGGGAACAUGGAGCUGGAGCGAGACGUGGGUGCCAGUCAGCACAAGAAAGACCUGCACAGAGAAAGUCAGGCUGGGGUGAGAGGGAGCCCCCCGAGCUGGGAGCUCAGCCUGAGAGCAUGGGAAGCCACCGAGGAGCUGGGGAGCCAGGCUGAGUCUGACCCCACUGAUGCAGAUUCCUCUGUGGGCUUGGGGAAGGCCAGAGACAGGGCCGCAGGUGGGGGCUUUGGUGAAGGGAGCGAGAGUGUGAGCCAGUGCCAUGUAGAGAGGACAGAUGCAGGGAUGCCAGCCAGGGUGCCAUCGGCCAAGAAAGAAAGGUCCAGCAGGUGCAGUAUCAGAGCAGGGUCCCAGAGGAAGGCAACAGGGACAGUUCUGGCUUCUUACCUCGGCCACUAGGAAGAUGGUGAUGCUCUGAGGGUGAUGAGGCCACAGGGUGGGAGGGAGGAGGAGGAGCCUCCCCCUGCAAGCUCUGUUAGGGGGGCACACAUCAGUGGCUCCCCACCACCCUCUGGACGAAGCCCAGAGCACAGAGCACUUGAGGCUACUGGGUGUCCCUGGUCCCUGCUCUGCCAAACAGCUCUCCUGUCACCAGCCUAAUCUCCAUGGCCGGGCAUUCUGAAUCCACGAAUCCAGCUCCCAAGUGGUUCACAGGCUCCCAGCCCAGGCCAUGUGUGUGUGCUGUCUCCCUGUGGGAGCAGGCUCCUGUCCUAGCUCCAUGCACCUGCUCACAGCUUGGCCCUCAGCUUAAAGGCCCCUUCCAGGGUCAGGGUCCCAACUGGGAACCCCCAUUCUGGGCUCUGCAAAUGCCUCCCAGCACUUACUCCCCACAAUGCUCUGUCCGAGGGUCUUGGCCUCUGGCUUGUGAGCUCACAGAGGGCCGCGCCCUUGCACUCACCAUCCCGUUCACCUGCAGGGCCAGGCCUUGUGCCAGCAUAGAGGUGAAUGGGCACACGCUUCCCAUCUGCUGGGGAGAUUCUCGCUCUGCUGGCUCUGCCUCACCCCUGGGGGCUCUGCCAGCUCCUCAGAACCCUGAGUCCGGGGCACGACGUGGCCUCAGGUCUGGGCCAGAUGACGUAGUGCAGGCUCUAGGCCCCGGGAGGGACGUGGCACUUCCUGCAUCAGCUCUGUCGCUGGCCUCACUAGGGCUUCCCUCCCCAAGUCUCAGGGGCUGCAGGGUACCCCAUCCUCUCCACAGAACACGUGCGUGGGCCUCCAGGAGAUGGUUAGUAGAACAGAGAGGUUUUAGGGAAGUUUAUAUUUAUAGCUCUUACAUUUAUUUAUAUUUAUCAAAUAUGUACCCAUCACUAAAAUCUCUUCCGAGCAUUUUCAAAAAUUAAAGAGUUGCGUCUAAAAAUACUGACCUUGAUGUUCAGCGUGUGUGGGUAACUCCCCAGGCCCAGAGACAUCAAGAGCAGAUGUGACAGCAGCCAUGGCUGCUCAGGGGCUGGGGAUGCGGGAAAGGGGUGGCUCUCAAAUAGUCUUGACAAGCAGCUGAAUAUGGUUGUGUCAGAUUUGGAAAGUGCAGCCUGAGAAUUUGAAAUCCAUUCAUUCCCCACCCCCCAACCAUUUUUUCAUGUAUUCAUUCAUUCGGCACACCCUGAAUGAACACUCUUUUAUUUGAUACCUAUCCAGGGGCACUGCACAGGCUCAUGACCGUCAUACGCCCAGUCUGGCCCCAUGGUGUGCCUGAGCAGAGGACUGUUAGCAAGUGGGUCACUUCCAUCCUCCAUGGUAAACGCUGAGAAAAGAAAGAUCAAAGGCUUCAGAGCCCAUGGGAGGGAUACAGACAGGGGCUGGGCAGCUGCUAAGAAAACUGCCUGGGCAACAGGGUGGCCGUGACCAGGAGGAGGGGGAGAAGGACCCAGAGGAGUGGAGGAAUCCUUGCUGUGGAAGGCACCAUAUGAGCUGCGUGAAGUCAGAGUCAAAAGCAAACCCGUCUCCUCCUGACAGCGGGACCCAGGAGGCAGGACAACCUGCCAGAGAGGCUGAAGGAGGUUCUCUCGCGCUGGAUCCUCGACAAGAAAAAGGAAGAGGGUCUCCCCUGCUUCCCUCGCCCACAACAGCUGGUCUUCCAGAGGUCAGCCGUCUCGUCCCUUGUCUUCAGAAUCUGGUGGAGUUGGAGGCAGACACCUGAGGUUAGGAAGGGAAGGUGAGACCCGACCCAGGAAAGCUGAGUCCUCCUGAACCCUCAGGGCUGGGGUGAGGGGCCAGUGCCCGACCCAGACACCAACACAGCCCUGCAGUGAGAGGCAAUCUCAGCAGAUGGAUGGGCACUUCCCGGAUGAUGAACUGGUCAGCACUACAGUGGCCCCCUUGGCCUAAUUUGCCCACCUGAAGAGCUUCCAGGUCUCCAGUGACCCUAGUAUCACGGCCAGGAGAGGAGCAGGGUGACCUGAGGGUGCAGAGAAGGUUCUGCUGUAAUCAAGUUCCCCUGCCAGGUCAGAGGCUCAGAGGUUUGGGAGGGGAAGGAUUUCCUGUUAAAGCAGCAGGAUCCCUGUGGGCCCAGAGGGAAACACAGACUUGGCGGGCGUCCCAUGGAGUGGGAGUGAACAGGAGCAGGAGGAAGGUGGGUGCAGCCCCCAUACGGGCCUCAGGUCACACUGGAUGUUUCCUCAGCAAGCGUCACCUGGGUGGUGACGAAUGGCGGAGGAGAACAAGUGGAGUUCAGGGAGUAGCAGUGUGAAGCUGCACCGCCUGGUCCCCACUUGAGGUAAACAGGGUUUGCUCUGCCGAAGGAGCCCACGCUGGCUGCAGACACGGGGCAACCAUGUGAGAAAGGUCGGACCCAGGCCCACUCGCCUUCCACAUGCGUCUUAGGGACGGGGAUGCCUGCGCCAGCAGCAGCCUUGCUGCCCCUUCGUCCCCCAGUGCACCUGCCAGGGGAAAGCCAACAGGCAGUGCCAAGGACCUGAAGGGGGAGGCGGGCUUGACUCUGAGGCAGGGCACGGACACCAGACCACGUGGAGGAGCAGCUGAAACAGGGCCAGUGGCAGCAGCCACCUGUGAGAUGUGCCAACCAGUGAGCCUUGUUUAGUUUACUAUUGCCAUGGCAAGACCCAGAAGUUACUGCCACUUUCCAUGGUAAAAACCCAAUGACCCUGAGGUUUCUGCCCCUUUUCUAGAAACUUCUGCAUAAACCAACCCUUAGUUAGCAUGUAGUUAAAAGUGGACAUAAAUAUGCUUCGGGGCUGCCUCUGAGCUGCUGUUCUGGGUGCACUGCCCACGGGGAGUCCUGCUCUUCCGGGAGCAGCCCCCUCGGCUACCGCAGCAAUAAAAGCUGCUACAGCA